ACGAACGCUGGCGGCUGCUUAACACAUGCAAGUCGAACGGAGUGGCGAACGGGUGAGUAACGCGUGAGCAACCUGCCUAUGACAGUGGGAUAGCCUCGGGAAACCGGGAUUAAUACCGCAUAGUCAUAGAUGGGCUCGCGUCUGAUUAGCUAGUUGGUGAGAUAACAGCUCACCAAGGCGACGAUCAGUAGCCGGUCUGAGAGGAUGAACGGCCACAUUGGAACUGAGACACGGUCCAAACUCCUACGGGAGGCAGCAGUGGGGAAUCUUGCACAAUGGGGGGAACCCUGAUGCAGCGACGCCGCGUGAGCGAUGAAGGUUUUCGAAUCGUAAAGCUCUGUCCUAUGGGAAGCGGUACCAUAGGAGGAAGCCCCGGCUAACUACGUGCCAGCAGCCGCGGUAAUAC
rnacentral:rRNA from 1 species